rnacentral:rRNA from 1 species
CAGGUCUUGACAUCCUCUGACACUCCUAGAGAUAGGAAUUUCCCCUUCGGGGGACAGAGUGACAGGUGGUGCAUGGUUGUCGUCAGCUCGUGUCGUGAGAUGUUGGGUUAAGUCCCGCAACGAGCGCAACCCUUGAUCUUAGUUGCCAGCAUUCAGUUGGGCACUCUAAGGUGACUGCCGGUGACAAACCGGAGGAAGGUGGGGAUGACGUCAAAUCAUCAUGCCCCUUAUGACCUGGGCUACACACGUGCUACAAUGGAUGGUACAAAGGGCAGCAAAGCCGCGAGGCCUAGCCAAUCCCAUAAAACCAUUCUCAGUUCGGAUUGUAGGCUGCAACUCGCCUACAUGAAGCCGGAAUCGCUAGUAAUCGCGGAUCAGCAUGCCGCGGCGAAUACGUUCCCGGGCCUUGUACACACCGCCCGUCACACCACGAGAGUUUGUAACACCCGAAGUCGGUGGGGUAACCGCAAGGGGCCAGCCGCCUAAGGUGGGACAGAUGAUUGGGGUG